rnacentral:rRNA from 1 species
UACGAAGGGGGGCUAGCGGUUGUUUCGGAAUCACAUGGGCGUAAAGGGCGCGUAGGCGGCCUGGCAAAGUGGAAGGUGAAAUCCCUCGGCUUAACCGAGGAACUGCCCUCCAAACUGCUUGGCUUGAGACCGGGAGAGGUGAGUGGAAUUCCCAGAUGUAGCGGUGAAAUGCGUAGAUAUUGGGAGGAACACCAGUGGCGAAGGCGGCUCGACUGGAA